rnacentral:tRNA from 1 species
AAGAUUUUAAGUUAUACACCUAAACUCUAAACCUUCAAAGUUUAAUAAAUAUUUACUUAUAAAUCUUA